ACGAAAGUCUGAUGGAGCAACGCCGCGUGAGCGAUGAAGGCCUUCGGGUCGUAAAGCUCUGUUGUUAGGGAAGAACAAGUACCGGAGUAACUGCCGGUACCUUGACGGUACCUAACCAGAAAGCCACGGCUAACUACGUGCCAGCAGCCGCGGUAAUACGUAGGUGGCAAGCGUUGUCCGGAAUUAUUGGGCGUAAAGCGCGCGCAGGCGGUCCUUUAAGUCUGAUGUGAAAGCCCACGGCUCAACCGUGGAGGGUCAUUGGAAACUGGGGGACUUGAGUGCAGAAGAGGAAAGCGGAAUUCCACGUGUAGCGGUGAAAUGCGUAGAGAUGUGGAGGAACACCAGUGGCGAAGGCGGCUUUCUGGUCUGUAACUGACGCUGAGGCGCGAAAGCGUGGGGAGCAAACAGGAUUAGAUACCCUGGUAGUCCACGCCGUAAACGAUGAGUGCUAAGUGUUAGGGGGUUUCCGCCCCUUAGUGCUGCAGCUAACGCAUUAAGCACUCCGCCUGGGGAGUACG
rnacentral:rRNA from 1 species